CACAUUUGGGCAGUGGUUCUUGAAGUGCCCGUUGAACAUCAAGGGUGAUCCCAGUACUUGUGGCUUUAUCCGCUCUGAGGCAGAGUAUGAGGCCUUGGAAGCACAUCCACGGCGGUGCGAAGCUGCAGGUGGUGACUGGUGCGCCGAAUUGAAGGAUUUGAAGCAAGAAUUGGCAGAGGUGAAGGAAAAGCUUGAUAGAUUUGGAGCUGCGGUUUGGAAGCAGAAGUCUGAACAAGAGUCUAGGAAGUUGCAGAUUGUGCUUGAGUCAUCAGUUGUAGUGCCUCUGUUAGUAGGCCUUGUAGGUGUUCUAUUUGGUGUUGUUGUUGCUGAAAUGUGGAAGUGAGAUGCUCAGAAAUGAAUGAAAUGCUGACUUGUUUGAAUGCUAUCAUGUGUGUUUUGUGAGUUGCA